GGUGCAACUCACGAACCGGGUGUUUCUCAUGUAAAUGAAAAGAAAAGUCAGAGUCUCGAUGCAAUGUCAACUACUGUUACCAUUGAUGAAAGCAUUGAUCAACAAUACGAAAGAAAUCAGAUUCUCAGUCAGAAUUACCAGGCCUUUUGAUUGGUUAUUCAGAAACACGGAUAGUGAACCAGAUAGUUGCAAAGCUACGACCGCUGCUUCCUCCGCUGUGAAGAUUAAAAAGAAACCGAGAUCAAAAAGUACCUCUUGGUUUUACACUGUUUCUGAUGAUGAUUUGGCAACUCCUAAAACUAAUUUUCAUUUAACGUCUUUUAAGUCAGGUGGUAAGUUGUCCUAUUUAGCUGAAAGCCAACUAUUAUUUGUUCGUUUUAUGUUUGCUUUAUUUCCCUCCAAGGAAACUAAUCCAAAUGCAUCCUCGCAAACUCUGUGAAACUUUUCAGAAUUGGUGAAGAAAAUUAAUUUUUCUUUAAAAUAUAAACACAUGAGUGGAUACUUACAACAUCUCAAUCUGAGGUAUGCAUUUUUCGACUUUAGCUAUCAAUAUGUACAUUUUUUGGUUGAUGCUUGGUCUAGUGGAAAUCGGAAUCAGCUAAAGCCAUGAUCAAUCGAUCGUAGUGCCUGAAAAAUUGCAGCAGAGCAAUUACUUGAAGAAUUGAUCAAUUUUCUACUUAUAUUUUGGCUCUUCAUUUGUGACUCUUAGUAUCUCAUCAUGAAUCAAGGAAUAUCAGAAGAAUUGUUGAUUUUUAAAGUUUAAAAAUAAUCUUCGA
rnacentral:lncRNA from 1 species